rnacentral:tRNA from 1 species
GAUUAAAUGGCUGAAGUUAGGCGAUAGACUGUAAAUCUAUUUAUGAGGUAAUUCUCUUUAAUCA